rnacentral:sRNA from 2 species
AUCAAUGUUUUCUAGGGUUCCGAAGCUUUAAAACGCUUGACUGGUCCAAGAGAAAACGCACAGUUUACUGUGUACACGGAGGGACAAAAGCCCGGGAGAU